rnacentral:ncRNA from 1 species
CCGAGUUGUAAUUUGCAGAGGAUGCUUCGGGUACGGGUUCCUUCCGAGUUCCCUGGAACGGGACGCCAUAGAGGGUGAGAGCCCCGUCUGGUAGGACACCCAGCCCGUGUGAAGCUCCCUCGACGAGUCGAGUAGUUUGGGAAUGCUGCUCUAACGGGAGGUAUACUCCUUCCAAGGCUAAAUACCGGCUGGAGACCGAUAGCGCACAAG